AUUGAACGCUAGCGGCAGGCCUAACACAUGCAAGUCGAACGCGUGGCGGACGGGUGAGUAAUGUCUGGGAAACUGCCUGAUGGAGGGGGAUAACAACUGGAAACGGUAGCUAAUACCGCAUACCAUCAGAGGUGCCCAGAUGGGAUUAGCUAGUUGGGGGGGUAACGGCUACCCAAGGCGCCGAUCCCUAGCUGUUCUGAGAGGAUGACCAGCCACACUGGAACUGAGACACGGUCCAGACUCCGACGUGAGGCAGCAGUGGGGAAUAGUGCACAAUGGGCGAAAGCCUGAUGCAGCCAUGCCGCUUGUAUGAAGAAGGCCUUCGGGUUGGAAAGUACUUUCAGCGGGGAGGCGUUACCCGCAGAAGAAGCACCGGCUAACUCCGUGCCAGCCGCCGCGGUAAUUC
rnacentral:rRNA from 1 species